CCUACGGGAGGCAGCAGUGGGGAAUAUUGGACAAUGGGCGAAAGCCUGAUCCAGCAAUGCCGCGUGAGUGAUGAAGGCCUUCGGGUCGUAAAGCUCUUUUACCAGGGAUGAUAAUGACAGUACCUGGAGAAUAAGCUCCGGCUAACUCCGUGCCAGCAGCCGCGGUAAUACGGAGGGAGCUAGCGUUGUUCGGAAUUACUGGGCGUAAAGAGUACGUAGGCGGUUAUUCAAGUCAGAGGUGAAAGCCCGGGGCUCAACCCCGGAACUGCCUUUGAAACUAGAUAACUAGAGUCUUGGAGAGGUUAGUGGAAUUCCGAGUGUAGAGGUGAAAUUCGUAGAUAUUCGGAAGAACACCAGUGGCGAAGGCGACUAACUGGACAAGUACUGACGCUGAGGUACGAAAGCGUGGGGAGCAAACAGGAUUAGAUACCCUGGUAGUCCACGCCGUAAACGAUGAUAACUAGUUGUUCGGUCACUUGGUGACUGAGUGACGCAGCUAACGCAUUAAGUUAUCCGCCUGGGGAGUACGGUCGCAAGNUUAAAACUUAAGGAAUUGACGG
rnacentral:rRNA from 1 species